AACGAACGCUGGCGGCAUGCCUAACACAUGCAAGUCGAACGAGACCUUCGGGUCUAGUGGCGCACGGGUGCGUAACGCGUGGGAACCUGCCCUUAGGUUCGGAAUAACUCACCGAAAGGGGUGCUAAUACCGGAUAAUGUCUUCGGGCCAAAGAUUUAUCGCCUUUGGAUGGGCCCGCGUUGGAUUAGCUAGUUGGUAGGGUAAAAGCCUACCAAGGCGACGAUCCAUAGCUGGUCUGAGAGGAUGAUCAGCCACACUGGGACUGAGACACGGCCCAGACUCCUACGGGAGGCAGCAGUGGGGAAUAUUGGACAAUGGGCGAAAGCCUGAUCCAGCAAUGCCGCGUGAAUGAUGAAGGCCUUAGGGUUGUAAAGCUCUUUUACCCGGGAUGAUAAUGACGGUACCGGGAGAAUAAGCUCCGGCUAACUCCGU
rnacentral:rRNA from 1 species